rnacentral:lncRNA from 12 species
AACAUCAGUGUUUCAUUUCCUGAUAUUGUGUUCCUGGAGCAGAAAACAGAAGAUUGGGAAAGAAAAAGGCAUAGUGAUAGAUAAGUUUGAUGUCCUGGAAAGACGCCCUUCUGAGGAUGAAUGAAGAAUUACGGUAUCCCUCAUUUGUCUUGCUGAUAUGCAGCAUAGAAAUGGUCAAGCCAAGCAAUUAGAUGUCACUAUCCGUUGGUCAUCUGUCUUCGAUGUGUGAGGUACAA